rnacentral:tRNA from 1 species
GACUGGAUAGCCUAGCAGCAAAGGCAGCACAUUGACAUUGUGUCCCAGCUUACAUGCUGAGGUUCCAGGUUCAAAUCCUGGUCUAGUCA